GAUGAACGCUGGCGGCGUGCUUAACACAUGCAAGUCGAACGGAAACAGGAUGAAGCCUAGCGAUUCCUGUUUUAGUGGCGGACGGGUGAGUAACGCGUGGGUAACCUGCCUUACACUGGGGGAUAACAGUUAGAAAUAGCUGCUAAUACCGCAUAAGCGCACAGGGCCGCAUGGCCUGGUGUGAAAAACUCCGGUGGUGUAAGAUGGACCCGCGUCUGAUUAGCUAGUUGGUGAGGUAACGGCCCACCAAGGCGACGAUCAGUAGCCGGCCUGAGAGGGUGAACGGCCACAUUGGGACUGAGACACGGCCCAAACUCCUACGGGAGGCAGCAGUGGGGAAUAUUGCACAAUGGGGGAAACCCUGAUGCAGCGACGCCGCGUGAGUGAAGAAGUAUUUCGGUAUGUAAAGCUCUAUCAGCAAGGAAGAAAAUGACGGUACUUGACUAAGAAGCCCCGGCUAACUACGUGCCAGCAGCCGCCGUAA
rnacentral:rRNA from 1 species